AUUGAACGCUGGCGGCAGGCCUAACACAUGCAAGUCGAGCGGCAGCGGGAAAGUAGCUUGCUACUUUUGCCGGCGAGCGGCGGACGGGUGAGUAAUGCCUGGGAAAUUGCCCAGUCGAGGGGGAUAACAGUUGGAAACGACUGCUAAUACCGCAUACGCCCUACGGGGGAAAGCAGGGGACCUUCGGGCCUUGCGCGAUUGGAUAUGCCCAGGUGGGAUUAGCUAGUUGGUGAGGUAAUGGCGCACCAAGGCGACGAUCCCUAGCUGGUCUGAGAGGAGGAUCAGCUACACUGGAACUGAGACACGGACCAGACUCCUACGGGAGGCAGCAGUGGGGAAUAUUGCACAAUGGGGGAAACCCUGAUGCAGCCAUGCCGCGUGUGUGAAGAAGGCCUUCGGGUUGUAAAGCACUUUCAGCGAGGAGGAAAGGUCAGUAGCUAAUAUCUGCUGGCUGUGACGUUACUCGCAGAAGAAGCACCGGCUAACUCCGUGCCAGCCGCCGCCGUAAAAC
rnacentral:rRNA from 1 species